rnacentral:lncRNA from 1 species
UUUCGAAUAUUGUUUUACUUAUCAUGUGUGAACACAAUAUUUUUUUAAAAUCUUUGCAAGGCACAGUUGUGAUUACUCAAGUCCACAUUUAACCUUCCCUGAUAUGUUUGAUUGUCUUUUCAUUUUUCUUAGGAAUGAAGUGGUUAUCUUGGAUGCCAUUCAGUGAUGUAAUUUUGUGAUCUAGCGUUAUCCUUCAUGUAACAGGGUAAGUCAUUGUGGCUUCUUGGAUGCCAUUUCCUGCCCUCUUCUUUUCUAGAUGGCCUUGUCAAUUAAGCCAUUGUUACAUCUGCAGUUGUGCCCAUGCUGUAACCUUACUAGAUCAUAGUGUCAAUUUUUUUAUAUGUGUGAGAUGGCUGCUGCUUUGUAACUAUAGUUGCCAUUCAGUAGUUUGUAAUGCUGCAGUUGUGUGAAAUAAAAUUCAGAGCUGGUUCCAUUUUAUACUUUUAUUUGCAGCAAUUUUCUGUUUUAGUGGCUAGCAUUUAAGAAGGAUGUGAUCUGUUUUUCUGUGUGUUUGUCGUUUAUAAUCAUUAAGAUAGCCAGGACGUAGACUUAUAAUCAUUAGGAUGUGAUCUGUUUUUCUGUGUGUUCGAUUAUAUUUUGCAUCUCAGCUUUUCUGAAGUUGAAAAGAAUUGGGAUUACACUGAUUGGAAGUCUAGAUAGAUGCUCAGGCUCGAGCAUGAAUGAAGUGCUGGAAAUAUACUUACUAAUCAAACAGGAAAAAGGGCACGGCUUGCAUUCAAAUACUAGGGUGUUGCUGUGAGUAGUGAGCAAAUCCAAGACUAACCAAUUUAAAUGCUAGCCAUGGCUUGCUUUUUGUAAUCCUCAAAAUCAACAAAGUCAUCAGUUUCAAUGGGAACCGAUGGCUCUGCAAUCUUCGGCUCGAAAAACUGGCUAUAGGAGUUGAGACCCGAUGCUGAUGCUGUUUCUGUAGGAGUGAACAAAUAUAUAUUUUGUUGUAACACCGAGAACUUUUUUUUCCUUACCUGUAAUGUUAUUACAGCGUAGACUAAUUAGAACAGUCUACGCUGUAAUAACAUUACAGGUAAUCAGUCUACGGUAACUAAUCAGAGGAAAAUAUAUUUUGAAGCAUGGGUUGGGGGAACUGCUAAUGCAUUUAUCUGUUUUAAUUAGUUAGCUAUACUUACUAUAUCUUUUACGUUUUUAGGUAACCAUCAUCUACGUUGUUGAUCAUUAAUCAAGAAGCAUUCAUUUGCAGAAGAAAAACUACCUGAUAUGCUUGAUCUAUGGUGGAGCGCAGAUGAUCUAGAGCACCUAUAUGAAGCAUAUAGAAGAUGUGAAAAAUAUCGGAAGAGGUUUGUUUUAUGGCCUGUUUUGUUGUGGAGUGGUAUUGCUUUUAGUAGGCAGUUGGAAACCACUUGUUUAGGUAAACCACAAACCAGAAAUCAGAUGAGACGAAAACAUUCCUUUCGUGUAUUGUUCACACACGAGUACCCAAGAAAUUUAUUGUAUCAAGUAGCAGUAUUGUCUCAUGCCAAAAAAAAAGGUAGUCGACUCUGUGACCUUGUUGUCCAUAAUGUUUUUUUGCUGCUGGGAAGGUUUCAUAAAUUGUGACCUUUGCGGAGUGCCCUGCCUCAGUGAUAAUUUUGGUCUCAUUGUGUCAAAUAGACUUCCUAUGAAGUGAAGCUUUGUUGUAACCAUGAGCAUGUGAGCAAGUAUUCAUUCCCAGCUUGUUUUUUUUUGCAGGAAUCCCAAGUAUAGUUUUCAGCUUCUGGUUUCCUCUGAAUCCUAGAGAGAUAAAAUAUGUUUCCUGUUUUCUUUACCUGAUCACAUUUUAGAAUCUCAGCUAGGUAAUCUGAUUGGAAUUUCAGCAACUACAUGAUCAAUUUGUGUUGCAGUUAUCCUAUUUCCAGUUGUCUUAUGUUUUAAAGUGGGUGUCAUGCGUGGAGCUGCAUGGGUAUUUUUCCUGUAAUAUUAUUAUUAUGGUUUUUGGUACCCUGCCCUAACUACACUGAAAUCCAUGUUGGUUGAUGCAGCUGAAGAGGUGAUCCUUUCAAUCUCCUCAGCUUCCAUGCCCCGACCACACUGCAGUCCAUAAUGGAUGAGGAAGGAGGAGGUGCAUCGACAAUAGUUUGAAUCAGAUCGGGCAGCCACCAUAGUUGGUGAUGCUGUGGAGUGGAGGAACUAUGGCAUAUGGCACUACAGUUGACUUCCCCUACACUGUUGGAAACUGCAGUGGACUGAUGGCACCGUGGUUCACCUUCCAUAUAUGGCUGGAAUUUGUUGCCCAACACUUAUUACCAGGCAAGUAACUCACUAUUCUUUCCGUGCUCCAUUCUCCAGUCCAAAUUCAAUUAAAGCAAAUAAAUCGGAUUAAUCUUUAAUGCCUUAUCAAGAAAAAUGUGCAUUGUAGCUGUCCAUCACCAGGACUGGUCAUGAGUCUCAUGACCAGACUCUGCAUCAUACAGACCAGAGACGAACCAGCAGGGGUGGUCUGCAUCAUCUCUAGCGGCAGCAUGCAAUCCUUGAUCUAGGUGUUCGCUACAUGAACAAAUCAAAAACCGGCAAGUCGGUUCACCUUUUGGCUUAUAUAUUUAAUCAUUCCGCCUUCCAGCAUCAAGCAAAGUUAUUAGGCUAGGCGUCGAACAUUGAAUUGAUUGUCUCUUUAUGAGUUUCUAGCUCUUUGAAUUUCUAUUCAUGUUCCCACACGAGUAUAUAGUUAUUCCUGAUACAUAUGGGUUAAUCACUGUGCUUAAGGACAAGCGCGAAACCAAGUGUAUUUUUUAGAGGAGUAUUUAUGAGAUUGAAUUGCUGCAUGAU